UUGGGCUGGGUUGGGUUCGGUUUGUCGGUUUGAUCUGUUAUUUAACAUGUUUAAACCGAACCGAACCAAAAACCGAAUAAUUUUAAAUCUACUAACCGAACCAAACCGAUUUUUCCAACUAACCAAACCGAUAAACCGAAUUUAAUCAGUUCGGUUCGGUUUUUCGGUUUAGACCGAGAAUUGCUCAGCCCUAGGCAUAACAUUUAUAGAAACUCCUAAAUCACACAUUGCCUUCUUGAUUUCAAGGUUUCCAACUUUACAUAAUAUUGCAAAUAUACCUUUGUCUUUACAUUUUUGUGCAAUUUUUCUUUGGAGUACAGCUGACACAUUUUUGUGCAACAUACCUUUUCGUGCCCAUACAAUUUUCUUUUAUUAGUGCAAAGGUCUUUUAGAAAUUUCACAUGUAUUUGCUUUAUAGUUUCAAGAAGGGGUAUGUUUACCUGGACUUUACGAAAAAUCUCCAAGAUCUCUCUCUUCCUUUUCUCUUUUUGAUUGAGCAAAUCUUUCGGGAAAAGGUGGACGUAUUACCUGCAUUGGGGAUUGUUUUUCCUCAGAUUUUUGAGGCUGAUUCUCUUAUAG
rnacentral:lncRNA from 1 species